rnacentral:rRNA from 1 species
UACGGAGGGUGCAAGCGUUAUCCGGAAUCACUGGGUUUAAAGGGUGCGUAGGCGGCGCUAUAAGUCAGAGGUGAAAGGCCACAGCUUAACUGUGGGACUGCCUUUGAUACUGUAGUGCUUGAAUUAGGCUGAGGUCGGCGGAAUGUGACAUGUAGCGGUGAAAUGCUUAGAUAUGUCAUAGAACACCAAUUGCGAAGGCA